rnacentral:rRNA from 1 species
GAUGAACGCUGGCGGCGUGCUUAACACAUGCAAGUCGAGCGGACAGACCAUAAACUUGUUGCUUUGAUGUUGGCGGCACCGGGGUGAGUAACACGAGGAUAACCCCCCUAUACGACUGACAUAACUACGAGAAUCCGGAGCUAAUACCAGAUAAUAUUUUGAUCCGAAUGGGGCAUUAGAAAAAGACGGUCUUGCUGUCAGUGAUAGAUGGAUACGCGCUGGAUUAGCUAGUUGGUGGGGUAACGGCUUACCAAGGCAACGAUGCAUAGGCGAUCUGAGAGGGUGGUCGGCCGCCCUGGACCUUGGACACGGUCCAGACUCCUACGGGAGGCAGCAGUAGGCAAUGUUCCGCAAUGGUCGAGAGCCUGGCGGAGGAACCCCGCGUGUGUGAUGAAGGUCUUCGGAUCGUAAAACUCUGUUAUUAGUGAAUAACAGAUUUGUAAGGAACUGUUGAGACCUUGACGGUACCUAAUAAGAAAGCCACGGCUAACUACGUG